AUCACUGCUGAGGAGUCCCAUAAUAGGACGAAACGGCCGUCCAGAGAU
rfam:Schistosoma mansoni, Puerto Rico, WGS project CABG01000000 data, contig: 0105